rnacentral:rRNA from 1 species
AGCGGCGGACGGGUGAGUAACGCGUGGGUAACCUGCCCUGUACACACGGAUAACAUACCGAAAGGUAUGCUAAUACGAGAUAAUAUAAGAGAGUCGCAUGGCUUUUUAUCAAAGUUUUUGCGGUACAGGAUGGACCCGCGUCUGAUUAGCUAGUUGGUAAGGUAACGGCUUACCAAGGCGACGAUCAGUAGCCGACCUGAGAGGGUGAUCGGCCACAUUGGAACUGAGACACGGUCCAAACUCC